GCGCACGUGGUGAAAUUGGUAGACACGCUACUUUGAGGGGGUAGUGCCCGUUCGGGCGUGGAAGUUCGACUCUUCUCGUGCGCA
rnacentral:tRNA from 2 species